rnacentral:tRNA from 2 species
GCGGUGUUGGUUUAGUGGUAGAACACGUCCUUGCCAAGGAUGAGACAGGAGUCCGAUUCUCCUACGCCGCACAA